rnacentral:rRNA from 1 species
AGAGUUUGAUCAUGGCUCAGCCCUUAAGAGGGCGGCGUGNAUAAUANAUGGAAGUCGAGCGCCCCAUUUCGGUGGGAAGCGGCGAACGGGUGAGUAACACGUAGGUGAUCUGCCCAUCAGACGGGGACUACGAUUGCCCCCGAUCGCUAAUACCGGAUAGGACGAAAGUUUAAAGAUGCUCCUGGCAUCACUGAUGGAUGAGCCUGCGGCGCUUUAGCUAGUUGGUGGGGUAAAGGCCUACCAAGGCGACGAUGCGUAUCCGACCUGAGAGGGUGAACGGCCACACUGGGACUGAGACACGGCCCAUACUCCUACGGGAGGCAGCAGUAGGGAAUCUUCGGCAAUGGGCGAAAGCCUGACCGAUCUUUGCCGCGUGAAUGAAGAAGGCCUUCGGGUUGUAUAAUUCUGUUAUAAGGGAAGAAAGGUGAUAGGAGGAAAUGACUAUCAAUUGACGGUACCUUAUGAGAAAGCCACGGCUAACUACGUGCCAGCAGCCGCGGUAAUACGUAAGUGGCAAGCGUUAUCCGGAAUUAUUGGGCGUAUAGACCGCGCAGGUGCUUAAUUAAGUCUGAUGUGAAAGCCCACGGCUUAACCGUGGAAGGUCAUUGAAAACUGGUUGACUUGAUUGCAGAAGAAGGAAGAGGAAUUCCCUGUGUACCGCUGAACAUGCGUACUAAAAUGGAAGAACUCCCAUUGGCGAAGGCUGUUUCCUGGCCUGCCCUUGACCCUGAUGUUCCAAAUCUGGG